UACGGGGGGGGCAAGCGUUGUUCGGAAUUACUGGGCGUAAAGGGCGCGUAGGCGGAUUUGUAAGUCAGAUGUGAAAUUCCGGGGCUCAACCUCGGAGCUGCAUUUGAAACUGUGAAUCUAGAGGGUUGGCGGAGAAAACGGAAUUCCACGUGUAGCGGUGAAAUGCGUAGAUAUGUGGAAGAACACCUGUGGCGAAAGCGGU
rnacentral:rRNA from 1 species